AACACCUAUGCAUAAAGGGCGAACAAGAUCUACUGCCUCUUGAUUAGUAACCUUGUCCCAGAGACCAUCAGAGGCUAAGAUCAAGAACUCGCAGUCAGGCUUAAUCUUUAAAACUUUAGUUUCUGGUUCUGAAACCACCCAUUGUUUCAGAUUUCGAUCUCCAAUUCCUCUAGUUACAGCAAGAGACCCUUGUAUUCUCCAAACACCAUGGCAACAAUCCACAUAACCGCCCAAGGCUUCAAUUCUGUCUCUUUCGUCUUUCCUGGCAGGCUGGUGAUCAGAGGUGAGAGCCUCAGCAACUCCACCACGACUCAUAACAGCCCGGCAGUCACCGGCAUUGGAAACCACAAGGUCGCCGUUGUGAAUCAAUGCUGUGACGCAACAAGCACCACCACCAACGCUUUGCUUUAGGAACUCUCUGUCUGUGGUCAAGUAGCCAUUUCUAAUUGCCAUUUCAAUUCCCAUUUCCUCUCCGCAUCUGCUUGAGACCUCUGCCAUGAUGUUCUUCUCCAAAUUCUUCGAAGCGAAUUCCGCUGCUUUUGAGCCACCAUGCCCAUCAAAAACACCGAAGAAAGCCUGUUUAGAAUCUCCGUUGGCAUCAACGAAAGCAGAGUAUCGAUCCUCCAUGAGCCCUCUUCUCCCUCGUUUACAAUAAACCGAAUACCCAUCUCCUUCAGCCUCCAUAACCUCCACCCUCUCCUCCUCACGUCGCGGCGUCUCUAAACCAAAUCCCCAAACCCCAUUCAUCACCGGGAUAGCAAUCCUCCCCGGCCUCUUCCUCUUCAACAACGCACCCGAAUUCGCUUCCAACCUUUUCUCAUUAACACGAAUAGCCAAAGGCGAUUUCGGAGACGCAGAAGGUGAAGACGAUGACGCUUGUAACGAAAAUGACGUAGGGGAUUGUGAGCCAUGGAUUGUAGGCGACGGACAUGGCUUG
rnacentral:misc_RNA from 1 species